CUGAGGAAGUUCAAAGACACUCUGCCGUCUGCACCGGAGAGAAAAAGCGGGGAACCCCUAGGAGCCCCCAGACUGGUGAAUGUGACUCUGGAUCCAGACACGGCUCAUCCCAUCCUCGUCCUGUCUGAGGAUGGGAAAAGUGUGAGACGGAGAGACAAACGGCAGCGACUGCCCGACAACCCUGAGAGAUUUGACACUGUGUUCUGUGUGCUGGGCUGUG